rnacentral:rRNA from 1 species
AACGAACGCUGGCGGCAGGCCUAACACAUGCAAGUCGAGCGGACCCUUCGGGGUUAGCGGCGGACGGGUGAGUAACGCGUGGGAAUAUGCCCUUCUCUACGGAAUAGUCCUGGGAAACUGGGGGUAAUACCGUAUACGCCCUUUGGGGGAAAGAUUUAUCGGGGAAGGAUUAGCCCGCGUUGGAUUAGGUAGUUGGUGGGGUAAUGGCCUACCAAGCCGACGAUCCAUAGCUGGUUUGAGAGGAUGAUCAGCCACACUGGGACUGAGACACGGCCCAGAUUCCUACGGGAGGCAGCAGUGGGGAAUCUUAGACAAUGGGGGCAACCCUGAUCUAGCCAUGCCGCGUGAGUGAUGAAGGCCUUAGGGUUGUAAAGCUCUUUCAGCUGGGAAGAUAAUGACGGUACCAGCAGAAGAAGCCCCGGCUAACUCCGU